rnacentral:rRNA from 1 species
GAUGAACGCUGGCGGCGUGCCUAAUACAUGCAAGUCGAACGAACGGGCCCGACGCUUGCUUGUUGGUUGUUAGCGGCGGACGGGUGUGUAACGCGUGUAUAACCUACCUAUAAUACUGGUAUCACUUCGGGACACCGGCUCUUAUCCCGUAUAAUCUUUUGCACCGCAUUGUUCAAAGGUAAGAUACGGUCUUGCUGUCACUUAUAGAUGGAUCCGCGCUGCAUUAGCUAGUUGGUAAGUUAACGGCUUACCACGGCAACGAUGCAUAGCCGAACUGAGAGAGUGGUCGGCCACCUGAGAGGUUAGACGCGGUCAAGACGCCUAAGAGAGGCACCAGUCGGGAAUCUUACGCAGUGGGCGAAAGUAUGACGGAGCAAGGCGGAGUGAGAGAUGACGGUCUCCGGAGCGUAAUACUCUGCUAUUGGGUAAGAACAGAUGUGUCAGUAAAUGUGCCCAUCUUGACGGUACCGAAUCAGAAAGCACCGGCUAACUACGUG